GUUCUCAGCUGUAAUGAGGCUUAGAAUACAUUUAGAGAAAGAAGACUACCGUGGAUGGAAAACAUCAGAAACAGCACAAUGAAGGAGAAAUCCAUUCCAAUUCUCAAGUGAUCGGCAGAACUCUAGAUAGAGUGACAGAGGCACAUGUUAUUUUGAGAACAUGCUGACACCUAUAAUAUCAUGUCCUGCUUCAUUCAGUAAAAUGUGAAAGUCUGAGGAUCUUGGAGCUUUAAUGGAAGGGGACAGAUUUCUUCGAUUCAAUCUACCAGAUAGCCCCUGCCCCUGUCAUUCCGGCAAUAUGGCCUGAUUCUGCCUAAAACCUCACAGCAGCCUAGUGACUUAGAGUCAGAAUUGAGGUCGCGGGAGAAGCGGACCAUUCCGGAAUCUAUUUCAGAAAAGCAAACUUGGAGACUGGCAACCGUGAAGCUCCAGUGUGCUCCAGGCCUCUCAUGCUGAAGUGGUUCUGUUUGCAGCCAACUUUCUCUUUGGCUGGAACCUGAUGAAAAGCUGCAGGCCUCAUACCUGCUAUCAAGUUUAUAGAAUGAAGAGCUUUUGGACCUCUGCUGAUUAAAAAUAUAACGCUAACCUGCUAUAACCAACGAGCUCAUUUAACUGGAACAGAUUGAGGAUAAGAGUAAAC